AUAUAUAUAUAUAUAUAUAUAUGUAUAUAUAUAUAUAUAUAUAUAUAUAUAUAUAUAUAUAUAUAUAUAUUAGAAAUAAAAUAGUAUCUUCUUCAGUGUGUAAAUAAAUCAUUGUAUAAAUAUUAAAUAGUACCAUUAAGUUCUGUCAAAAUACAACAUUAUAUUAUUAUUAUUAUUAUUUAACAAAAAUAUAUCACAUUGAUUUAAUAAAAAAAUAAAAAUAAAAUCGGACAUGCCCUAAGUGCACUUGUGCUGUGUGCGCUCUAGACCAUGCAUUAAGAUAAUUAAAAUAUAUAUAGCUUAUCCAAAAACUUCCUAUGGUAUGCCCAUCUCACUUGCAUUAAAGACAUGAAAAGUAUUUUUCUGUAUAAAAGUGCCAUUGAGUAGUUAAAGUUGGUAAUCAAACAAGUUGAUGAUCAGUGCAGAUAUGUGUGGAAAUGAUUGGCCAGAAAGAUGCUCCGCCCCACUUCUGUUUUCUUUAAAAAGACCUAUAGUCCCAAUGACUGCAUUUCAUCAUACCAGCACCUGUGCUAAACUUGCAAAAUGUUAAAAUUUUUACAGGCAUUUUUGGCUCUGGUUUUGGUAUUUUGUGCCUGUGUCUCUUUAAGUGAUUCCGCCUGCUCCUUGACACUUCUAGAUCAAGGUGCAGAAUAUUGUGUCGAUGGCUAUGAUAACUCCAAGCAUCCAAUCGGAAGUACUUGGACAAACAAAAGAUGCAUCGGAUGUACCUGCUCCCCUGGGGAAAUGAAGUGCUGUGACGUGGUGGGCCGAGCGAUUAACCUCUCUCAAGGCUGCAUUGCGAUUUAUGAUUACAACGAUAAAUGCACAUUUGAAGUAUUAAAUCCAAACAACCCCAACAUGAUAUGUUCUUAUGAUGUUGUUGGAAAGGAAUUAAAAUGAUCAAGUAAUGUGUCCAUUUUACAUUCAAAUAUCAGCUGUUUUUGGAUCCAACUUGGACUUCACUGUAAAGAACACAUUGUACCAAUUUUCCUCAAUAAAAGUGCAUCAGCUUUUUGAGUAUUUUGAACUGAUUUUAUUUUUGUUUGGUCUAUCAGACUUUACAUUUCGCACUCUUAAUUAAUGGCAACAUUUUUUUUUUUUUUUUCAAUUUACAAACUAUUGUUUUAAAAUGAUCAAACAUAAACCUUGUUCUUUUUAAAGUUAUAUUUAUAAUUAUUUUUAUUAUAUCCUUCAUAUUUUUACAUUUUCUUGAAAUGUUUUAAUUUAAAUUUAAUGAAACAGUAAAGAGGCGUCUCAAAACAAAACAUUUAUUCACUUUACAAUGUUACAACAGCUCAACAAUGCAAAAUACAGAGUAUCAUUAAUGCCAUUUUAACACCAAUUCUCACUUUUUUAAAACUAUUUAAACUAUUUUAGUUGCUAAUUUAAACUUAUGUUACUGAGGGAAAACUCUUAGCCAUUGCUGAAUGUGUUCCCUAAUUCUAAAGUGUUACCACACAUCCUUUUCAGAUUAAUUUAUUCACCUUUACAUAAAGAUGUUUAAUGUCUUCAUGUAAAAAAGAAAAAGAAAAGUGGGCCCUACAUGGUUUAUGCUGGGUCUACAUGGGUACCAAGUGGGCACGGUCCCAAAAUGGGCAUCUUAUCUGGGGCCCUAGUUGGGUCAUAAAUUGGAAAUAAGUGCAUGGGUUCUAAAUGGAUAACACAAAUGGGACCCAUGUCAAUUUAAUAAAAGGGUUAGGCAUGGACAAAUACAAUUAAUCCCAUAUAGACUGCCUACACUGGCCAAAAGGUAGUACCAAUGGUGAGCUUGAUUGCAAGUACAUCAUGUUCCUGGAUCAGCAUCCUUGUUGAUUCUGGAACAACAUUUCAAUCAACCUAUCAGAAUUGAGAUAAAACUUUUUGGGAAAUAUAUGUUUUAGGCUUGCAAUCAAGGUUAGGUGCUUCUACUCCAUUGUUAAUCAGCUAUCAUUUGCACUGAUUUUAGGAAUAAAUUAUGGGAAGGGUUAGGUUUAGGGGUAGUGAUUGGGUUAAGUCAAUAUUUUUGGACAACAGUGUGGAUCCAGGAUCAUCAACAUAUGUUGACCCAGAAACAUGUCUUGGCAAAAUCACAGCAGCCUAAUACCCAACCUCUAUAUGGGUUUUUCCGAAUGGGGAAACACAAAUGUGGCCCUCUUUGCCAAACCAUAUGGGUAAAACAUUGUUUUGCUGUUUUACUGUUUGUAUCACUAAUUCUUACGUUUCCUAUGUAAUGUUAAUCUGUUUAUUCUGUUAUUCUAUUUCUAUGUAAAGCGACCUUGGGUCUGAGAAAGGCGCUAUAUAAAAUAAACUUAUUAUUAUUAUUAUUAUUAUUAUUAUUAUUAUUAUUAUUUAGCAUUGGCAAACACAAUCAAUCCUAUAAAAGCUGACUACAUUUGCUCAAGGUAGUACCCACAUAGGUAAUAUUUGUAUGGGUUCUGAAUAGGCCCUUUUGGCCAAAAUAUGUGUCAGACAUGGGCAAACACAAACAUUGCCUUAAAGUCUGGCUACAUGGACUCAAGAUAAUACCUACCUGGGUAAUCUGUGUAUGGGUUAUAAAUGGGUAAAUACAAAUGUGGUAGUGAUAAGUGUCACGCUGUCAGUCUCUGUUUUCCUGGGUGUUCCCUAGUGAGCUCACUUCUCCUUAGGCACUUCACCAUAGGCACUUUUAUUCCUCUAGUCUGGUCCUGUCUUCACAGUUAUUGCACUCCAAUUAAAUCACACAGGUGCUGAAGCUGAGGCAGUGCCCGAUGCUGUUUCGGAGGCAGAGGCGGUGCCGGAGGCCGUUCCCGAGGAGAUGACCGAGACGUGAGACAGCUCUGCUUCGGGCACCGCCUUAGGAACGGCCUCAGGCACCGCCCGAAGCAGUGCCGUCUCACGUCUCCACAGGCAGUCCAAAGUCAAGUCUCAAGUCAGGUGCCCAUUGACUGUCCAGAGUUGAGUCAGUUCCCGGUUGACCCUC
ensembl:lncRNA